rnacentral:misc_RNA from 1 species
GAUGAAGAACGUAGCGAAAUGCGAUAAGUAGUGUGAAUUGCAGAAUUCCGUGAAUCAUCGAAUCUUUGAACGCACAUUGCGCCCGCCAGUAUUCUGACGGGCAUGCCUGUUCGAGCGUCAUUUCAACCAUCAAGCCCCCGGCUUGUGUUGGGGACCUGCGGCUGCCGCAGGCCCUGAAAUCCAGUGGCGGGCUCGCCGUAGCACCGAGCGUAGUAGCACACUUCUCGCUCCGGUAGCAGCGGCGGGCGCUUGCCGUAAAACCCCCCCUAAAAUCUCAAGGUUGACCUCGGAUCAGGUAGGAAUACCCGCUGAACUUAAGCAUAUCAAUAAGCGGAGGA